CCUGGGGAUUCAGUUAGGUUUGUAUGCAGUCUGUUGAUAUACCAGGGCCAGGGAUGCAGUUAGGUUUGUAUGCAGUCUGUUGAUAUACCAGGGCCAGGGAUGCAGUUAGGUUUGUAUGCAGUCUGUUGAUAUACCAGGGACUGGGGAUGCAGUUAGGUUUGUAUGCAGUCUGAAGAUAUAUCAGGGCCUGGGGAUGCAGUUAGGUUUGUAUGCAGUCUGUUGAUAUAUCAGUGCCUGGGGAUGCAGUUAGGUUUGUAUGCAGUCUGUUGAUAUAUCAGGGCCUGGGGAUGCAGUUAGGUUUGUAUGCAGUCUGUUGAUAUAUCAGGGCCUGGGGAUGCAGUUAGGUUUGUAUGCAGUCUGUUGAUAUAUCAGGGCCUGGGGAUGCAGUUAGGUUUGUAUGCAGUCUGUUGAUAUAUCAGGGCCUGGAGAUGCAGUUAGGAUUGUUUUGCACUAUCAUCUCACUCAUUUCAAAUCAGCACCAAUCAAUCAAACAC
ensembl:lncRNA